rnacentral:rRNA from 1 species
AUGCUAACGCAAAUGCUAAAUAAACAUGCACGCACAGUAAGGCUGAAAGGCUCACCUUGCCCAGCUUGUGCAUCGGCAGCUCCAAAGCCGCUGCCCAAGUCCAGCCCCAUAUUCGGCCGGACGUGGCCACGCCCCAUGGCUCCCUCAUUGUCGACCCAGUCGCCCCCUGACCUCGAUCUUCUAUGGCUGCCACCGCCAACUGGGUCGCCAGCCGGACGGCUGCUGUCGAGAAAGCCUUCCUCAUCCAUGGUCGCGGAUGGAAGAAGGGGAGAACGGACUAUGGGGAGGGACAGGGAGUGGUGA